CUGUCAAAAAAAAGUCCUAUGACCAAAGAUAGAAGUUCUCCAUAGGAUGCAAUAGGCACUCAAUAGAAGUGCUAUGCUUUCCAGAAGAGAUACACUG
rnacentral:snoRNA from 1 species